GAUGAACGCUAGCGGCAGGCCUAAUACAUGCAAGUCGAACGGUGUCUUCGGACAUAGUGGCGCACGGGUGCGUAACACGUAUGCAACCUACCUUACAUUGGGGGAUAGCCUUUCGAAAGGGAGAUUAAUACCGCAUAAGACAGUAGCUGGGCAUUCAGCAGCUGUUAAAGAUUUAUCGAUGUAAGCUGGGCAUGCGUCCAAUUAGCUAGUUGGUGAGGUAACGGCUCACCAAGGCAAUGAUUGGUAGGGGAACUGAGAGGUCAAUCCCCCACACUGGCACUGAGAUACGGGCCAGACUCCUACGGGAGGCAGCAGUAGGGAAUAUUGGGCAAUGGACGCAAGUCUGACCCAGCCAUGCCGCGUGCAGGAUGAAGGCGUUAUGCGUUGUAAACUGCUUUUAUACAGGAAGAAACGACUCUUGCGAGAGGCAUUGACGGUACUGUACGAAUAAGCACCGGCUAACUCCGUGCCAGCCGCCGCGGUAAGAC
rnacentral:rRNA from 1 species